rnacentral:rRNA from 1 species
UACGUAGGGGGCAAGCGUUGUCCGGAUUUAUUGGGCGUAAAGAGCGUGUAGGCGGCCAGGUAGGUCCGCUGUGAAACUCGAGGCUCAACCUCGAGAUGUCGGCGGAAACCAUCUGGCUAGAGUCCGGAAGAGGAGAGUGGAAUUCCUGGUGUAGCGGUGAAAUGCGCAGAUAUCAGGAGGAACACCAUGGCGAAGGCAGCUCGCUGGAACGGUACUGACGCUGAGGCGCGAAAGACGUGGGGAGCGAACAGG